GCAAUUACAGAGGCAUAUGUGUCAAUAGCAACCUGGGGAAAAUAUUCUGUUCGAUUAUUAACACAAGAUUACAAAACUUUCUCAAAACCCACAAAAUCUUGGAAAAAAGUCAAAUUGGAUUCCUGCCCAAACACAGAACAUCUGACCACAUUUAUACCCUCCACACUAUCAUUGAUAAACAUGUACACCAAAACAAAACCAAAAUCUUUGCUUGCUUUAUCGACUUUGAAAAAGCUUUUGAUUCAAUCUGGCAUGAAGGACUAUUUCUAAAACUACUGGAAAAUGGGAUUGGAGGGAAAACUUUUGAUUUAAUCAGCACCAUGUAUAAAAACAAUACAUGUGCUGUAAAAAUAGGGAAUAAUUUAACAGAAUAUAUCUCUCAACAACGAGGAGUUAGACAAGGUUGCCCAUUGAGCCCCACUCUGUUUAACAUUUAUAUCAAUGAAUUAGCCAAAGAAUUAAACAAUUCGACUGCCCCCGGCCCAAGCCUAACUGAAUCAGAAAUCAAAUGUCUCCUCUAUGCAGAUGAUUUAGUCAUUCUGUCAAAAACAAAAGAGGGACUACAACAGCUCCUCGACAUCAUAGAGACAUUCAGUCAAACAUGGGCUCUUAAAAUCAACCUCGCAAAAACAAAAAUAAUGAUUUUUCAAAAGAGACCCAGGUGUAAGGAAAAUAAACACACUUUCAGAGCGGGAAACCAGGUCCUCCAACACACCCAUGAAUACAGCUAUCUGGGACUAAAAAUCAGCUCAACAGGGAACUUCAAUCUGGCUGUGAAUGAACUGAAAGCAAAGGCACUGAGAGUCUUCUACAUGAUCAAAAAUACAAUUCAAUUUGAAAUUCCAAUUCAAACCUGGCUAAAAAUCCUAAAAGCAAUAAUCGAACCAAUCGCUCUUUAUGGCAGUGAGAUAUGGGGACCCCUAAAAACCCAAGAUUUCUCCAAAUGGGAAAAAGAAGAAAUUGAAAUUAUGCAUACCCAAAUUUGUAAAAGCAUCUUAAAAGUUAACAGAGCAACCCCAAACAACUCGUGCAGAGCUGAAUUAGGACAAUACCCAUUAUUAAUUAGUAUUCAAAAGAGAGCUGUGAAAU
rnacentral:lncRNA from 1 species